rnacentral:rRNA from 1 species
UUGGAAGCUUGCUUCCGAUAGGCGUCGACCGGCGCACGGGUGAGUAACGCGUAUCCAACCUGCCCAUCACUUGGGGAUAACCUUGCGAAAGUAAGACUAAUACCCAAUGAUAUCUCUAGAAGACAUCUGAAAGGGAUUAAAGAUUUAUCGGUGAUGGAUGGGGAUGCGUCUGAUUAGCUUGUUGGCGGGGUAACGGCCCACCAAGGCGACGAUCAGUAGCCGGUCUGAGAGGGUGAUCGGCCACAUUGGAACUGAGAGACGGUCCAAACUCC